UCAUACCAGCACGACA
rnacentral:rRNA from 1 species